rnacentral:rRNA from 1 species
CACGUAGGGCGCAAGCGUUGUCCGGAAUUAUUGGGCGUAAAGAGCUCGUAGGCGGUCUGUUGCGUCUGCUGUGAAAACCCGGGGCUUAACCCCUGGCUUGCAGUGGAUACGGACAGACUAGAGGUAGGUAGGGGAGAAUGGAAUUCCCGGUGUAGCGGUGAAAUGCGCAGAUAUCGGGAGGAACACCGGUGGCGAAGGCGGUUCUCUGGGCCUUACCUGACGCUG